CAAUACUUUCAUAAACUUUCAUACUCUUGAGCAGACAAAACAUUGACGAACACGGGGGUUGGUGGCCCGUGGUUCCUUCCAGUCCGUCCUAGUUCAGGAUUCUAGAUACCUAAUCAGCCGUCGAAGGAUGGAUCGAGUCAACUUGUGAUAGAUCAGAUACUGUCUCUCCGUCACCCUCCGUGUGGGACCUUUUGACCUUACCAGUACUUUUUUAAAAUCAAAGUUGAUGAUGGACCUUACCAGUACUUGACUCUGAGAUGCAGCAACCAUUUCUCCAAGUUCCAGCCUCUUAGCAGUUUUCUGCAAAGGAUUUUGGAAUGAAAUCCUUGAGUACCUCUGUGGGCAAUCUGCUGCGCAAUAUUGGUUGAGCACAAUAAUCCGGCUUUUCUGGAGAAAUCUGCUUCAAAGUUUUCAGUAAAUAUUUUAGCCUAAAGAUGAUUGGAGCGUGCCCAAGGCCUGGACGGGUGCGGACAGGAUGUCGGAUGUUGUGGUCUCAAAAUCUUCCCCUUCUGCUGAAGAAAAAUAUGCGUGAAAGCUCAAAAGAUUUCAUCUUGAGAAAGCCUCUUUGAUUUUAUGUUUUGAACUUGUGGGCAAAUUGUAAUGGUUUUAGAUAACUUGUAAAUUUUCUUGUAAUUUGUCCUCUUCUACAGGGAAAAAAAGCGCUCGGUUUCUAAAAUAAAUUUAUAUAUGGCACUGAAUACUUUGGAUUGACAAUUGAGGACAACAUUGCUGUCAAUAUUGUUAACAGACAAAGCAACAUUAUGUUCCCAGUUUAAAUAUUCUUCAAUUUUCUGAGAUUUAA